rnacentral:rRNA from 1 species
ACUCAAAUGAAUAGACGGGGGCCCGCACAAGCGGAGGAACAUGUGGUUUAAUUCGAUGAUACGCGAGGAACCUUACCCGGGCUUGAAAUGGAGAAGACUGUUGGUGAAAGCCAACUUCCAGCAAUGGCUUCUUUGUAGGUGCUGCAUGGUUGUCGUCAGCUCGUGCCGUGAGGUGUCGGCUUAAGUGCCAUAACGAGCGCAACCCUUAUUGAUAGUUACUAACAGGUAAUGCUGAGGACUCUAUUGAGACUGCCACCGUAAGGUGUGAGGAAGGUGGGGAUGACGUCAAAUCAGCACGGCCCUUACGUCCGGGGCGACACACGUGUUACAAUGGGGGGUACAGAGGGUUGCUACCACGCGAGUGGAUGCUAAUCUCACAAAUCCUCUCUCAGUUCGGAUCGGAGUCUGCAACUCGACUUCGUGAAGCUGGAUUCGCUAGUAAUCGCGCAUCAGCCAUGGCGCGGUGAAUACGUUCCCGGGCCUUGUACACACCGCCCGU